GGCGAACGCUGGCGGCGUGCCUAAUACAUGCAAGUCGAACGAGAGCGACCGGUGCUUGCACUGGUCAAUCUAGUGGCGAACGGGUGAGUAACACGUGGGUAACCUGCCCAUCAGAGGGGGAUAACAGCCGGAAACGGAUGCUAAAACCGCAUAGGUCUUCGAGCCGCAUGGCUUGAAGAGGAAAAGAGGCGCAAGCUUCUGCUGAUGGAUGGACCCGCGGUGCAUUAGCUAGUUGGUGAGGUAACGGCUCACCAAGGCCGUGAUGCAUAGCCGACCUGCGAGGGUGAUCGGCCACAGUGGGACUGAGACACGGCCCAAACUCCUACGGGAGGCAGCAGUAGGGAAUCUUCCGCAAUGGGCGCAAGUCUGACGGAGCAACGCCGCGUGAGUGAAGAAGGUUUUCGGAUCGUAAAACUCUGUUGUUAGAGAAGAACACGUGCUAGAGUAACUGUUAGCGCCUUGACGGUAUCUAACCAGAAAGCCACGGCUAACUACGUG
rnacentral:rRNA from 1 species